GUGCCAGCCGCCGCGGUAAUACCGGCAGCCCGAGUGAUGGCCGAUCUUAUUGGGCCUAAAGCGUCCGUAGCUGGCUGCGCAAGUCCGUCGGGAAAUCCACUCGCCCAACAGGUGGGCGUCCGGCGGAAACUGUGUGGCUUGGAACCGGAAGGCUCAGAGGAUACGUCCGGGGUAGGAGUGAAAUCCCGUAAUCCUGGACGGACCGCCGAUGGCGAAAGCACGUCGCGAGAACGGAUCCGACAGUGAGGGACGAAAGCCAGGGUCUCGAACCGGAUUAGAAACCCCUGUAGUCC
rnacentral:rRNA from 1 species